CUAGCGGCCAUUAGCUCUCACAACCACCAGAGCAAAUUCCAUCCAGCCUAGCUAGCCAUGGAGACGGAGCCACCCAAGAUGCUCGCCGUGAUGGCGACGAUGAUGAUGAUGAUGGCCACCGCCGCUGCACUCGUACCGGAGGGGGCGGUGCUUGCAGGACAGGCGAGGGCGCUCCUCGUCUGGAAAGCCAGCCUCGACGACCAAAGCCAGCACACACUGCUGUCCUGGGAGAACAUGUCGGCGCCCUGCAGCUGGCGUGGCAUCACGUGCACAGGGCAACAUCGCCGGCCGGUGAUCAGCGGCAUCUCUCUGCAGGGGAUGCGGCUUAGAGGGGCGCUGGGGCCACUCGACUUCUCAGCCUUGGCGACCCUGACGCGCCUCGACCUCUCGCACAACCACCUCAGCGGGAGCAUCCCUGCCGGCAUUGAGGCCCUCGGAGAGCUCCGUGCUCUGCUUCUACAAGGCAACCAGAUAAGAGGCUCCAUUCCACUAGGCCUAGCAAAUCUCACAAAAUUACGCUCCUUAAUGCUUAAUGAAAAUGAACUCUCCGGUGGAAUACCAAGGCACAUAGGCAACAUGAGUAAUCUUGUGAACCUCACCUUGUCGGUCAAUCACUUGGUUGGUCAAAUCCCCUUUGAAAUAGGCCACCUAAAGCACUUGGUUACAUUAGAUUUUUCUAAUAACAAUCUUUCCGGCUCAAUCCCAAGCAAUAUAUGUGACUUGACAAAACUUGCUACCUUGUACCUUGACGCCAACCAACUCUUUGGACACAUCCCUCGAGAACUUGGUCAUUUGGUCAAUUUAAAGGACCUGGGCCUUAGCCGAAACAAGCUGAUAGGUUCCAUCCCAAAUAACUUGAGAAAUUUAACAAAACUCACUGCCUUGUAUUUUGGACAGAACGAACUUCCUGGCCAAAUUCCACAAGAUUUAGGUUAUCUAGUGAAUUUAAAGGUCUUGGAUCUUUGUCAAAACACGUUCUCAGGUUCCAUUCCAAUAAAUUUGUUUAAUUCGACGAAGCUCACUAUCUUAUCUCUAUGGGGCAACAGGCUCUCUGGUCAAAUUCCACAAGAAUUAAGUCAGCUAGUUAACUUGGAGGAAUUAGAACUUAAUACAAACACACUAUCAGGUUCUAUCCCAAUCACUAUAGGGAAUUUGACCAAACUCACUAGAUUAUACCUUUUCCAGAACCAACUUUCGGGGCAAAUUCCACGGGUGCUAGGUUAUAUGAUGAACUUAAAAGAAUUGGCUCUAUAUGAAAACACACUCUCAGGGAACAUUCCAAGAAAUUUAUGUAAUUUGACCAAGCUCACUGUCUUAAUUCUUUCACGCAAUAGACUUUCUGGUCAGAUUCCACAAGAAUUAGGUUACCUUGUGAACUUAAAUGACAUGGAUCUUACUUUUAAUACACUCUCAGGUCCUAUCCCAGUCACCAUAGGCAAUCUGACAAAACUCAAUAUAUUAAGCCUUUUUAUGAACCAACUUUCGGGGCGAAUUCCACGAGAAUUGGGUUACCUUGUGAACUUAGAGGAGUUGGAUCUUAAUAUUAACAAACUAUCAGGUUCCAUCCCAAACAGCUUACGAAGUUUGACAAAGCUCACCAAGUUAUGCCUUGCACAAAACCAACUCUCUGGAUCUAUUCCUCAAGGAAUUGGCAAGUUAACGAGCCUAGUUCAACUGCAACUCCCUUUUAACAACCUCUCUGGUUCCUUGCCAUCUGGUCUUUGUGCGGGAGGUCAGCUACAAUUUUUGAUCGUUAACGACAACAACUUGGUUGGACCCUUGCCAUCAAGUUUGCUAAGUUGUACAAGCCUAGUCAGGAUUCGACUUGAACGGAAUUACCUCGAAGGAGAUAUCACCGAGAUGGGAGCUCAUCCAAAUCUUGUCUAUAUUGAUAUAAGUUCAAAUAAACUAUUUGGUAAACUAUCUCAUCGUUGGGCUGAGUGCUACAAUCUUACAGUGCUACGUGCAUCAAAAAACAAUAUAACCGGAGUAAUACCAUCAAGUAUUGGGAAAUUAUCUUGGUUGGGGAUACUUGAUGUUUCAUCAAAUAAGCUUGAAGGACAAAUUCCUCCAGAAAUCGGCAAUAUAACGAUGUUGUUCAGUUUGAGCCUUUUUGGUAACUUGCUCCAGGGAAAUAUGCCCGCAGAAAUUGGAUCACUGAAAAAUGUGGAAUAUCUAGAUUUAUCAUCAAACAACCUAACUGGGCAGAUACCAGGAUCAAUUCAGCAUUGUUUGAAGCUUCACUCUCUAAAGUUGAGCCAUAAUCACUUCAAUGGUAUAAUUCCUAAUGAACUAGGGAUGUUGGUAAACCUACAAGAUAUGUUGGAUCUAAGUGAAAAUUCAAUUGAUGGCGCUAUUCCUAGUCAACUAGGUGGUCUUACUAUGCUUGAAGCCUUGAAUCUUUCUCACAAUGCACUGAACGGCAGCAUUCCACCAUCAUUCCAGAGCAUGAACAGCCUCCUAUACAUGGAAAUGUCAUACAACAAAUUAGAAGGGUCAGUGCCACAUACUAGGCUCUUUGAAGAGGCUCCAAUCAAAUGGUUUAAGCAUAAUAAGAAAUUGUGUGGUGUUGUAAGAGGUUUGCCCCCUUGUGAUCUUCCUCAAAGUAGUGAACAAGGGAAAAAUUCUGGUGCUAUUUUACUCUCUAUAAUAGCCGCAAUUGCAUCUUUUAUGUUUGUCAUUGCACUGGUAACAUGGCAGUGCAAAAAGAAGAAAACCAAGACAGCAGUUAUAGAUAAAUCACAACAAACCAAGAUGUUCACCAUUUGGAAUUUUGAUGGGGAAGAUGUGUACAAGAAAAUUGUUGAUGCCACAAACAAUUUCAGCAACGCUCAUUGCAUUGGAUCUGGAGGUAAUGGAUCAGUCUACAGAGUCCAGUUACCAACAGGUGAAUUGUUUGCAGUGAAAAAGAUCCAUAUGAUGGAAGAUAAUGAGCAAUUUAACCGUGAAAUACAAGCAUUGAUGUAUAUUCGACAUCGGAACAUUGCAAAGUUAUUUGGUUACUGCUCUGCAACCCAAGGAAGAUUUCUUGUGUAUGAAUACAUGGAUAGAGGAAGCUUAUCAGCAUCUUUGAAGGGUACAGAAACUGCAGUUGAAUUGGAUUGGCCGAAGAGGUUAAAUAUUGUUUGCGAUGUUGCUCAUGCUUUGUCUUACAUGCAUCAUGACUGCUUCGCACCGAUAGUCCACCGAGAUAUAACAAGCAACAACGUUUUGCUUGACCUGGAAUUUAGAGUUUGCAUCUCAGAUUUUGGUCUAGCGAAAAUACUAGAUGUGGAUGCAUCGAACUGCACUAGUCUCGCAGGGACAAAAGGAUAUCUUGCCCCAGAGCUUGCAUACACAACAAGGGUGACGGAGAAGUGCGAUGUUUAUAGCUUUGGGAUACUUGUUCUAGAGCUGUUCAUGGGACAUCAUCCAGGUGAUUUCCUUUUGUCCAUGGGCAACAACAAAAAUAGUACAUCAAUUGAGAAAUUUCUGGACACCCGGCUCCCACUCCCUGAAGCUGAGGUCGCAACUAAGAUAUUUCAAGUGGUCGCCAUCGCUGUUCGGUGCAUAGAGCCCGAUCCAUCGCACCGUCCGACGAUGCAGCAAGUAACCAAGGUGUUGUCAGCAGCUGAGCGACCUGCUAAUAAUCUUGAUUAUCUCCACACUAGCAUUGUCAUCCCUGCCUGCUGGUCGUGAAUGUUCAUCUGAUUAUUACAUCCGACACUGUAUAUAACACAUCAUUUUAUUCGCUAGAUAGCUUGUUUUCUGCUAUAUAUCAUUCGCACCUACUGGUUGGCAAUUAACUACAUCUAAAUAUAUUUUGUAUGGCAGAGCUCCUGCUAUUUCGGUAAAACAUUGAUAAAUAAAUCCAUCUGCAUCCUCUCUCGGACGUCUCCUUUUGGUCCUUAUAGCCUUACAAGGUGCUCGAGCCUUUUAGCUGUUCGUGUCACUUGGGGCUGCAGCAAGAAGGGAUUCGCACUGCAUUACCCUGUGAAGGGAGUCAAAAGAAGCCACACAAUCUGAGGAAAGAACUCCCCAUGGAAGAGGAGCAAAUCAAUCAGAUCAGGGAGGAGUGCAGCGUGCGUGCCUGGGUGAAGGCAUCAGGGUCAUUGCUGGCGGACAGAAGGAGGUAGUCCGGGCGACAGACGGUGGUUGCUGCGGCGAGGAGGAGCAUUGCGAGCGUGGCGCCCGCAGCCGCGACGGCGGGGCCAGGGUUUUGGAUUUCGGACCGAAAAACCGAAAAGUGGCCGAAAUCCGCCCAUUUCGGUUGGGCCCGGUAAAUGUUCAAUCCGGUCAAAACAAUUCGGCCUCGUUUGAAUUUCCAGCCCGGCCCAUGGUCCAGUACAGCCCAUAGAUAGAACCUUGUGCUAUAAAAGCUCAAACCAAACCCUACCGUAGCCCUAAUUUCAUUUUCUCCACUCUCCACUCCUCUGUGCGGCGGCUGCAGACAACGAAGCCGAGUGAGGCGGGGGCGCGGCGCCGUCUCUGCCCAUCUCCCUCCUCCCCGUCGCCUCGAGAGAUCACCACUCCCUGUCCCUCCCCAUAGUCCGUUCUCCCCUUCUUCCAUCCGCGACCAUGGAUGAGGAAGGCUUUCUCGACAGCAGCCGUCCGGCCGGCGACCCAGUUGGCGGUGGCAGCCAUAGAAGAUCGAGGUCAGGGGGCGACUGGGUCGACAAUGAGGGAGCCAUGGGGCGUGGCCACGUCCGGCCGAAUAUGGGGCUGGACUUGGGCAGCGGCUUUGGAGCUGCCGAUGCACAAGCUGGGCAAGGCUCCUCUCGUAAGAGGGUAGGCAUCGAUGCUAGAAGGAGUGAUACUGUCAACUUAGACGAUGAAGAUGAUGGUCUGAUCAGGAAUGGUUCAACAACAAGAGAGGCACCUUUUAAAGGACUUAAGACCAACGACAUACAUCAUGUGUGGAACCAUGGCCCCAAGCACGGAGGAGGAUUUCAUUGUCGGUAUUGCAACAUGAAGAAUUCUGGAGGAGGUGCAACCCGCUUCAAAGAGCAUCUUGGCAAGAUAGUAGGUGAAGUGAAGGAGUGCCCAAAUGUUCCAAGAAAUGUGCAUGAUAUAAUGAGGAAGGCCGUGCUUGAGAUGAGGAAAAAGAAGAGGGAGAAGGAAAGUCGUAAGCUUAGAUUUGAACGUGAGUUGAUGGAUGAGAUGUACCAGAGAAAUGGUGUGAUAAAUAUUGAUGAUGAUAAAGAUGAAGAAAUUCAUAUGGCACUACGGGAGUCACUAAGAGACAGGAAUGUAUCUCGUGCAGUUGAGAGGAGGCGUGGUAGUGGCAGUGGUGUUCGCGUUUCCCUUGGGAAACAGAGUAUCACAGCCUACUUUGACAAGCAAUUGUCGAGCAACAAAGUAUCAAUGCAACCCAAGAUCAGCACUGCUAUGGAUAGCAGCUCAAGGGAUGCUGUUGGCCAAGCUUGGGCGAAGUUUUUUCAUGCAAAUGACAUCGCUGGUCGAAAAGCUGACUGUCCAUAUUUUCAGGCUGCCAUGAAGAUCACUCAAAAUCUUGGUGCUGCUCCUAUUCCAACUGGAAAAGAGAUUGAUGGGGAGUAUUUAGACAAAAAUUAUGAAGAGUCUCGAGAGUGGCUGAAGCUAUUCAAGCAAGAUUGAAAGAACUAUGGUGUAACUGUUAUGUGUGACUCCUGGACUGGGCCUACUGGCAUGAGUCUUAUCAAUUUCAUGGUCUAUUGCAAUACACGGAUGUUCUUCCAUAAAUCCAUUGAUGCUUCUGGCCAGUCUCAAAAUUCAGAAUUUCUCUAUAGAGAGAUUAAACAGGUUGUUGUUGAAGAGAUAGGCCACGAAAAUGUAGUUCAGAUUGUUACUGAUAAUGGCUCAAAUUACAAGAAAGCUUGUAAAACUCUUGUUGAACAACCAGAAUUCAGUCAUAUUGUUUGGCAGCCAUGUGCAGCCCACACGGUUAAUCUAAUGCUUAAAGACAUAGGUAAGUUUCCUGAGGUUGAUGUGAUAGUCAAAAGUGCCAAGCAAAUCUGUAGGUUUUUUUUAUAAUCACAACAACCUACAUGAUAGCAUGAGGAAGAACGUUGGUGGUGAGCUGAUUAAACCGAAUGCCACCCGGUUUGGAACUGUGUUUAUGUUCCUUGAGAGUUAUUUGGAGAAGAAAGAUAAAUUUAGGAAAUGGAUGGUGUCCGACGACUGGAAGAACAGUAUUUGGAAGAAUGAUGCGGACCAUGUGUUUGCUGAAGAGUUGCUAUCCAGUAACAUGUGGUGGACAGCCUUAGAAUGGGUUCUUGAUUUGCUUGAGCCACUCUAUGUAGCCCUCAGAUAUGCUGAUACACAAAAGAAAUGUACUCUAUCUGGUUUCAAGAAGACUAUGAUGACAGCCAUACAAAAGAUGAGUUCUCAUCUUGGUGGUGGGUCACAGAUGUUAGAUAGAGUCAUGAGCAAGGUGUCCCCGAGGAUGGAAGAUAUGCAAAAUGAGACACUAAUGGUUGCAGCUGCUGUCCUUGAUCCGUUCACACAUUAUCGGGUGAAUUUGAGCAACCUUCCAGAAUAUGCUUCUGCACUAACGGAUGUCAUCGAGAAGAUAGCAGACCCUGAGAGCGCUCUUUUGGCUAUCAAUGAAAUCAGCACUUAUAGGGAAUGUCGUGGGAGGUUUAGGCAUAGUUUGGCACGCUCUUCCGCAGAAAGAAUGGCACCAACUGAGUGGUGGUUCCAGUUUGGAGGGGAAGUUCCUAAUUUGCAGAAGUGGGCAUUGAGAAUUGUUUCACAGUGUGUCUCUUCAAGUGGCUGUGAGAGGAAUUGGACUGCUUUUGCCUUGGUCCACACGAAGCAAAGAAAUCGCCUUCUAUACUGCAAGCUUCACAAAAGUGUUUCUGUACGCUACAACCUGAAGUUACGUGCUGUAGAAGAUGAAGAUAUUGUGAAGCUGAGUUAUAGGGAGAAGGAAAUUGAUCCAUGUGCAGUGAUGAUGGAUACAGUUAUGCAUGACGAAUCAAACCCAAUGAUGGAGUGGCUGAACGAGGAUGAAGAGCAUAUAGUCCUUGAUGGAUCUGAUGCUGCUACUGCUGUGUUGGAGGAAAUACGUCGCCUUAACUCAAGGAGGAAAGCCUCUCAUCUUGGAAGGAAGGAAAUUAGCAGGAAAGGAAAGAGGGUACGUGAAGAUGAGGAGGAUGAGUUCAUUAGCAGUGAGGAUGAUGAUGAAGCGAAUGGAUCCAUGGACAUUGAUGAUGGUGAUGAUGGCCAAGAAGAGGAUGAUGAAUCUGAUGGAGAAGGUUUGCCAAGACAAGCUGAAAAAGAUGCACGAAGCCAAGUGAAUGAUAUUGAGGUAACAAGGGAUGAAAAUAUGGUGAAUCGUAGAUCUGGACGGCAAGCCAAGAAGGUCAAGGACGUCAACUCCCUUUACUAUUAGACUGAAGACUGGAAGAAAAUUGAAGUCUACCUGAUGUGUUUUGGAGGCGCUGGUUUGAACUUCGAUUACUUCUGCUCUAUGACUUGUGGAUUGUGAAUCUGGACUAUUGUGUGUGUAUUUUGGACUCGUAGUAGGGAUUGGUGUGUGGGUAUUUUGGACUGUAAUUUGAAGUUCUAAUAUGCACUGUUAUGUGUGUACCUUGGGCUAAUAUGGACUGUUAACUAGCCUAUUGAGUAGAUCUGGACUACUGGAUGUUAUAUCAUGCUCUGAACCGAUGUUUACCAUUGAGAUGGAGUUCUAAUCUGGUAUAACAUGUAAAUUGCUGCUUUGUGAUUCUAUA
rnacentral:rRNA from 1 species